ensembl:lncRNA
UUGAAAAUAUGUAGUAAAAUAAAAGAUUUCUCCCCGUCGGGGAAUCGAACCCCGGUCUUCCGCGUGACAGGCGGAGAUACUGUCCACUAUACUAACGAGGACAGAUGUAGACACACUGAUGAGGUAAAAUGCAAAUCCAAAAUGGCCACCAAAACGUUUACAGCCUAUUGUAGCCCUAUGAUAGUGCAAAGAUGGCAAUUUACUGCCUAAAAGUUGAAAUAUUCGAAGUAUAUGGGAUUUAGCAAUUAAAAAAAGAUUUCUCCCCGUCGGGGAAUCGAACCCCGGUCUUCCGCGUGACAGGCGGAGAUACUGUCCACUAUACUAACGAGGACAGAUGUAGACACACUGAUGAGCCUAUUGUACAGCCUAUUGUAGCCCUAUCAUAUGAACAAGGAGGGAUGUAGACAUACAGGCCCUUUAUAGGCGUUCUUGUGUGGACUUUUGUUCUCGUCGCUUUCGACGCAAGCCUAGAAAAAUGGGUCGAAGCGCGCAAGGAGGUGUGAAAAGGCACGCAAGGGACACGCAAGGGGCUCUUGCGUCUCGCUCUGAAAACGCAGAAGCAUAAACUAGGCUUUAGUCAGCUGCUGUUCCAAUUGCGGAAAUUACCGUUCUCUCCGUUCUCCCGUACCCGUGAGCCAGGACUCCCGAGUCAGUCUCCCGAGUCUAUUCUCGCGGGAACGGAAAGUCCGUUCUGUCCGUCUUAGGUAUUGAGAAAGGGCCAUAUAGAUGAGUUAAACAUUUUGAAAACAGAAUGGUAUCCAAAAUGGCCACCAAAAAGUUCGCAGCCUACAGUGUUUUUGGUUGAACUACGCAGGGUUAGAAGCGUGGGGGGUAAAAAGACAAAAGGCAGAGUACGUGCUGGACAUAUUUCUAGGCAAUCAAAAGAGAAAAUAAUCCAAUUUAAUGCAAAACUAAAAGGACAACGGUAUAUCGACUGAGUUUUUUUUUGUAUGGAGAAAAUUGGACACAUUUUUAACAAUACAUGCUCAGAAGUGCACAAAAUACAUUAAUAAUAAUAAAUAAUAGUGCAGAUAAGAAUAUUUGGUCUCAAAGAAAUAUUUAAAGUAUGUAGGAUUUUGAUAAUAUAACUUUAGAACAAUUAGAAAAAGAAAAGAUUUCUCCCCGUCGGGGAAUCGAACCCCGGUCUUCCGCGUGACAGGCGGAGAUACUGUCCACUAUACUAACGAGGAAGGACAUAUAUAUUUAUAUAAGUUUGGGUUUUAAUUUCAUAGGCAUGUGAAUACACGAUUGAUGAUCACCACUGAAUCUAUAGACUCCAGCGGUUUGACAAUGGAUGGAUGGACCACUAAAGCUGUUUAAUGUUAGUAUCAUAUAGCAGUGAACCAGACAAUGGGUGUUUUGCUUGCAUUGAAAAGGUGUGACGGGCACAAAAUCUAUGGACAACUUUCUUUGACUUUGUUAGUAAUAAUAAAACUUCUGCAGAAGUGUAUUUCUACCGAUGCCGAGCAGGUGGCAGUGCAGCGGUGUUUUGCCGCAUUCUGCGCUGCAGCAUCUUCUCAUGCCGAAGGAGACGUUAAACGUGAGAUGUCAGAGAACUAUUAAAAUAACAAAAUAUAUCAUUAUCAUGAUCAGUAUGACUCAAAUAUUUUAAUAUACACGUUAGUAUAUACUAUAUUAAUGUGUUGCCCUAAAACUGUAUAUAAAAUAACGUUAUAUAAUUAGAGGACACGAGUAACACACCGUGUAGUGUUUGUGACAAUCCUCUCUUUUGGCUGACCUGCAGUUUCAAUAUUAAUGACAAGUUUUCUCCCGUCCGGGAGACGCAGUUUUCACCCCCUAACUUAACACGGAUGAUACGCGAGGAAGAGCCAAAACGUUUUUUACAAGAACAAUCGGUGCGCCAGCGUGUUAGGCCGGGUUUUAUAUCAGAUAACGUUAGCAGAGCUGUCUUAAAAGUAAUGUUGAAGUCAAUUCUAAUGAUUUCAGUUCUGGUUGAUAUGAAAUGGUUUUGUUAGUGAAAACUCGAGAAUUAGACUCGAGAGUUUAUCAGACAAGACCAAACCUACCAAACCUCAAUAUUAUACUACCGAUACCAAAUUCAUAAUACCGUUUUAUGACAUGUGUUUGAACCUUGGGGGCACAUCUCGGAGUUAGCUUAGCAUUUUGUGUGAACACGGCCUAACACGUGUCACUAUGAAAGCGCCGUUCAUACAUCGUUAAAUAUGAACUAAAUUCAUGAGCUACUUCCUUCGACAAAACAUAAACAUAUAAUGAAACACUUUAAAAUCCUAAUUUAAUUGGCUAGCUAAAUUACCAUAACUAGUUAAGUUAGCUAACGUUAGUU